rnacentral:tRNA from 1 species
GGGUUGUGGCUCAGUGGUAGAGUGCUUGUCUGGCAUGUGUGAGGCAUUGGGUUUGAUUCUCAACACCCA